AGCAGCCGCGGUAAUUCCAGCUCCAAUAGCGUAUAUUAAAGUUGUUGCAGUUAAAAAGCUCGUAGUUGAAUUUCGAGAUCAAUACGUCGGUCGUGCCUUCGGUACGUACUGGCGUUAUUGAUUUCUCCUUUCUGACGAACCAUGAUGUCAUUAAUUUGGUGUUAUGGGGAGUUAGGACUGUUACUUUGAAAAAAUUAGAGUGUUUAAAGCAGGCAUACGCUUGAAUACAUUAGCAUGGAAUAAUGAAAUAGGACGUUCGAUCCUAUUUUGUUGGUUUCUAGGAUCGACGUAAUGAUUAAUAGGGAUAGUUGGGGGCAUUAGUAUUCAAUUGUCAGAGGUGAAAUUCUUGGAUUUAUUGAAGACUAACUACUGCGAAAGCAUUUGCCAAGGAUGUUUUCAUUAAUCAAGAACGAAAGUUAGGGGAUCGAAGACGAUCAGAUACCGUCGUAGUCUUAACCAUAAACUAUGCCGACUAGGGAUCGGAUGAUGUUAAUUUUAUAAUGA
rnacentral:rRNA from 1 species